rnacentral:rRNA from 1 species
ACGGAAGGCAGCAGUGGGGAAUAUUGCACAAUGGGGGAAACCCUGAUGCAGCGAUGCCGCGUGGAGGAAGAAGGUUUUCGGAUUGUAAACUCCUGUCUUAAAGGACGAUAAUGACGGUACUUUAGGAGGAAGCUCCGGCUAACUACGUGCCAGCAGCCGCGGUAAUACGUAGGGAGCGAGCGUUGUCCGGAAUUACUGGGUGUAAAGGGAGCGUAGGCGGGACGGCAAGUCAGAUGUGAAAUACAUGGGCCCAACCCAUGGGCUGCAUUUGAAACUGCUGUUCUUGAGUGAAGUAGAGGUAAGCGGAAUUCCUGGUGUAGCGGUGAAAUGCGUAGAUAUCAGGAGGAACACCGGUGGCGAAGGCGGCUUACUGGGCUUUUACUGACGCUGAGGCUCGAAAGCGUGGGGAGCAAACAGGAUUAGAUACCCUGGUA